GAUGAACGCUGGCGGCGUGCCUAAUACAUGCCAGUCGAGCGAACAGAUGAGGAGCUUGCUCCUCUGACGUUAGCGGCGGACGGGUGAGUAACACGUGGAUAACCUACCUAUAAGACUGGGAUAACUUCGGGAAACCGGAGCUAAUACCGGAUAAUAUAUUGAACCGCAUGGUUCAAUAGUGAAAGACGGUUUUGCUGUCACUUAUAGAUGGAUCCGCGCCGCAUUAGCUAGUUGGUAAGGUAACGGCUUACUAAGGCAACGAUGCGUAGCCGACCUGAGGGAGUGAUCGGCCACACUGGAACGGGGACACGGACCAGACUCCUAAGGGAGGGAGCAGUAGGGAAUCUUCCGCAAUGGGCGAAAGCCUGACGGAGCAACGCCGCGUGAGUGAUGAAGGUCUUCGGAUCGUAAAAUUCUGUUAUGAGGGAAGAACAAAUGUGUAAGUAACUAUGCACGUCUUGACGGUACCUAAUCAGAAAGCCACGGCUAACUACGUG
rnacentral:rRNA from 1 species